CAGACACUUGAUCAUUAUGAUUUCCAAUGACUCAUGCUCAGCAACACAAAGCCAAAUUGAUUACCAAUCCGUCCUCCAGGAAAUACUGGCAAUGUCACUCAGCAGAGUCCUUCAAUUUAGCAAGGUGCUUCAGAUACAGUCUUAAUUUUAAGUCACCUUACGAACCUGUGUAAAUCAGGGAGGAUUGUUUUGGUGCUUAAAACCAGUGGAAAAACUUUUGCUGAAGCAACUUCUAUACCAAUUGCUCUCUAACUCUGGACUCUAUUCCAUGAUGAGCAAGAAAGGAAUUAAAAUUUCUGAAGAAUAAUUUGUUUAAAGGAAAAUCGAUAGAUAGCAGUGGGGAGUUUGGAUUUGAUAAAACCAGG
rnacentral:lncRNA from 1 species